AUAGAUAGAUAUCAUUUCAUUUCCAACAGAGACCAUGCUCAACUCCAUGUCGUGGGUACGAGUCACAAGUUCUUCAAAUGUGCGGGUUUGAUACCUUGCAAGAUGUAGCGCAGUCCCCAAUGCAUGCUUUGGAUGCACACCUCUAUGCCAGAAGCUUCACUAAGCCUGUCUUUGCAGUUGAGGCUUGCAAUCCUUCAUUGAUUGAUAAAGUUGAUUACUGGUUCACCCUUCUGUUGACGAGUAUUUUUAUGUUCCACCAUACUCACAGUGCGCCUUGUGCUAUAAAAGCGAUAGAGGAACUCCAUAAAAGUGAUAGAGGAACUCUUGCUCUAGUUGAUCCCAGCUAUUGAUAGAUCCAGCCUCGAGGUCUGUGUACUAAUCAAAAGCAUUUUCGUCCAUCGGGCGGACAAACUACUUGACAAGGUAAUCUCCAUAAGUCUCAGUGUUAUUGCACGUCUCAAGAAAGUGCACCACGUGUUGCUUUGGGUUACCUUUACCAUCAAACUAUUGAAACUUUAGAGGUUGAUAGCCAGCAUACAUCUUCAACAUAUCGAUCCUUGUAGUAUAUGGGUUUGCAUAUGUAAGAGAGGACUUUCCAGUAACUUCAUAUUUAUUUUUAAUAGUUCUUUUAAUGAACUCCUUCAGUUGAUCGAUUG
rnacentral:lncRNA from 1 species